rnacentral:lncRNA from 1 species
AAUGACCCCGGUGUGCGACCCUUCUUUUCCUCGACUUUACGCACAAGCGAAAGAAGAGACCUACACGUCUGAGAAAUCUGGCGCUUUGAUAGACACGUAAGCGCUGGUUGAACUACGAGAAUUCCUAGACUUUUUAUCCCGCUGCAUUAAACUUCGCUGACUUAUGAAAGCUGCAGGCAAACCAGACAGGUUCAAAUUCAAAUGCCAAACGUUUAUGUUAUGGG